GUGAUUGACUUUCCAUAACAUAGUAAUUGACUUUCCAUAACACCCAGUUGCUGUCCUUUACGUUAUAUUGAAUUUAAUUGUGUAAGACACUGUGUUAGGACUCUAAACCUAGAUAAGAAUUUCUUUCACAAGGUAAUAUCAUUUUUUAUCUAUGUUUAUGUCUUGAUUAGUCCUCUUUUAUUUUGCUGUAACACCACGAGAAAGUUUUAUGAUUUCCACAACCUAAAUGGAUCAUCAAUUAAUCUGUUCUCUUUUGUAAGGGUUCUUUCAGAUGAAAUGUACUUGCUUUCAAAUAUAUGUUGCAGGAGCUGGUUAGAAUCUGAAAGAUGUUAUAAUGCAUCAAUAUUCCUUCUGCUUGUCUUCGAUUUUUCUUCCCUACUCUUUCCUAUUUAUAUUCUGUAUUGCAGCUUUUCUUUUUUGUAGGCCUGGUCAUUUAUUUUUAUGACUUAAGAACGAUUAUUAUGAUAUCCCAUGUUAACUAUAGAGUUGGUGUUAGAGAAUCCUAUGACCAGAGAAAAGCACGGGAAAAUAUAAUAUUUGGUCUUUUCUUGGCCAUACGGUACAUUUACUUUCAUGACCUUUUUAGCUUGAGCAACUCUUUAAGCAUCUGUAGAAGAAUGGAAAGGAACUCAGGAUGAUCUUCUUUUAUUAGUGUUAUUAUUUUGUCUUUUGUUUUUUCACUAUUGCAUUUUGCAUUCAUUAGAACAAGCGAGAAGAAACUGAGUUACCAACAUUGUACAUGUAAUUUUUCAUUUAUUAUCUGACUGAGACCAAUGGAAAACAAAAACUAUGCAAAUAACAUAACAAUGAGCCCAAAUCUAUAACUGUGAAGCCAAUCCUUUAGUUUAUUUUCCUCUUCUAAUUUUCUGUUUUCACUGAAGUGUCAUAUUUAUUGAUGCAUCUGUUAGGAUUGUUAUACAUGUGCUAGUAUAAAUAGGGAAUUGAGUUGUAAUUUUGGAUAUCAAACAAAUAAUUCAAGAAUUCUCUAAAGUUUCUCUCUAUCUUUAUCUUCCUCAAUCUCCCCUUCUUCUUCUUUCCCUUCCUUCUAUUUUCUUUCCGCUUUCUUCUGUUUUUCCUCCUCUUUCUUCUAUUUACUUUCCCUUUUUCCUCUAUUUUCUGUUUGGUUGUGGCAUGGUCACAACAAUUGUUAUCAGAGCCCAACGAUUCUAAGGACCUGACUAUUGCUUCUUUAGCAAAACUGUUGAAAAAGAAACAAGUGAGGGGAAACUCCAAGCUUCUAAGUCUUGAGGAACGAAUGCAAUCUUGGGAGCAGAAAAUUCAAGAGUAGAGCUAGGAAAUGCAUGCAACCUUCGAGAUGGACCAAUAAUGGAAGCGAGAACUGAAUCAAAAAAAUGAAUCAAAUCUUGGAAUUACUAGCUCAAGAAUUGGGUCCUGCCAUUUGCCACUAGAAGGGUGAACAAAUCUAGAUUGUUCAAAUCUUGAAGAAGAAGAUUGUAAUUCUUAGGGCGGUGAUGAUCUGGCCUUCUACAAAGAAGGUUCUGCGAAAAUUGAUUGCUCCAAUCUUGAAGAAGAAGACAAGGAUUGUGAUGGCAAUGAAGAUCAAUUUCUUGCCCUCAAAUUGAAUUCUUCUUUCCAAGGGUUUGCUGAAGGAAUGGAAUCUUCAAUUCAGGAUGGUAAUAAUUAAAUUGUUGCCAUUCAAUCUUCUGAAUUUCUUUAGGAUACCAUGGAGUGUAGAUGGAUAAAUU
rnacentral:misc_RNA from 1 species